rnacentral:misc_RNA from 1 species
GAUGAAGAACGUAGCGAAAUGCGAUACUUGGUGUGAAUUGCAGAAUCCCGUGAACCAUCGAGUCUUUGAACGCAAGUUGCGCCUCAAGCCAUUAGGUUGAGGGCACGUCUGCCUGGGCGUCACAUAUCGUUGCCUGAUGCCAGUUUCCUCGUGAUGGGUGACUGUGCAGGGCGAAUGAUGGCUUCCCGUGAGCAUUGUUGCCUCAUGGUUGGUUGAAAAUUGAGUCCUUGAGAGGGAGCGCCGUGAUAGAUGGUGGUUGAGUGACGAACGAGACCCAAUCAUGUGAGACCCCUACCGAAUUUGGCCUUCAUGACCCACAUGCGUCUUUGGAACGCUCAUGACGAGACCUCAGGUCAGGCGGGGCUACCCGCUGAGUUUAAGCAUAUCAAUAAGCGGAGGA